rnacentral:rRNA from 1 species
UACGUAGGGGGCAAGCGUUGUCCGGAUUUAUUGGGCGUAAAGAGCGUGUAGGCGGUUAGGUAGGUCCGUUGUGAAAACUCGAGGCUCAACCUCGAGACGCCGAUGGAAACCAUCUGACUAGAGUCCGGAAGAGGAGAGUGGAAUUCCUGGUGUAGCGGUGAAAUGCGCAGAUAUCAGGAAGAACACCCGUGGCUAAGGCGGCUCUCUAGUACGUGACUGACGCUGAGACGCGAAGGCGUGGGGAGCGAACAGG